rnacentral:lncRNA from 13 species
CUGCAAAGUAGAAAGGAAAAAGAAAAAAAAGGCUGAGCGUGGUGGCUGAUGCCUGUAGUCCCAGCACUUCGGGAGGUCAAGGUGGGAGGAUCACUUGAGCUGAGGAGUUUGAGACCAGCCUGAGGACAAUAGCAAGACUCGGUCUCUACAAAUUGUUUUUUUUAAAUUAGCCAAGUGUGUUGUGCACACCUGUAGUCCCAGCUAUUCAGAAGGCUGAAGUGGGAAAGUGGCCUGAGCCCCAGAGGCUGAGGAUGCAGCAACCCAUGACUGUACCACUGCACUGCAGUCUGCUCGACCCAGGGAGACCACGUCUCAAAAAAAUAAAAUAAAAUAAGAAGGAAGGCAGGAAGGAAGGAAAAAAAGAAGAAAGAAAGAAAAAGAAAGAAGGAAAGAAAAGAAGCCUUUUUACGGCUGGCUUAUUCAAGCCAAAACCCAAACAAGACACACACACGCAUUUAACUGGUAUAUUCUUAAAUGUCUUUCAAUCUGUACCCAGAUCAGCGCCAUCUUUUCCACGUCUUUUAAUCGCUGAGCACAUCAGGCACUGUGUCCUGCAGCAUAGCCUACCUUCCGGUUUGCAGAUCGGGUCUUUGGGGAUGUCCGUCUGCCCCUGUCUUUCCUGAAAUCCGGUAGUUGAGAUGAGAUCAGGACUGGAGAUUUCUUUGGAAGGAAGAAUCCGUAGAUGGCACCUCCUGCUGUGCCUGGAAGCUGUUCCCCUUUUUCUGGUGGCAGCUGCUCCCAACCCCAGCGCCUUUGCUGUCUUGGAACAGAUCACCACUGCAAGAGGGGAGGUUGCUACUGUGAUGAAUUCUGCCAUGUGGUACCAGACUGCUGCCCAGACUACAGUCUCCUCUGCAACCCUGGUAACUCACAUGUAGGCUUGUUUCCACCUACAGCAAAGCUGCAUGCUGUGGUUGGCAGAGGCGAGCCCUUUGCCUGCAUGUCAGGCCAAAGCUGGGACGUGCCCUGGAUGGUUCCGAAGGCCCCUGACAAUCCUGAGAUCAGGUCAAAGGUGCCUACGCGUUCCUUCUAGCUUUGUUUCCUGAUGUUCCUUGCCACCUGCUACUCCUCUCUGAGCUACUUUUCCAGGUUCCACAGAGAGAGGUUAAGCUGUCUGUGGUAGAGAAGAGGAGAAAGAGGUGGCUGGGGUCCACUUAACGUUCUCUCUUCUUGCAGUAUGGAUGCCUCUUGACUGGCAGCAGGUAGACUUUUGAGGGGAGACAGGAGUCUGCAGAGAGAUGCCGGGGAUGCUGGGCAGCAGCAGUGGGUGUGGGAGGCAGAAAUGAUGACAGGAGCCUUCACCUUGUGUUUCUUUCAGCUUCUCAGAUGACCAAGAUGGGGCUGCAGAUGGUGCUGAGGAUGGAGAACCCACCCAGCCCUGCUAGGAGCCGUCUAGACUGGGUGCAGAGCAUGGUAAGCUCCCUGGAAGCUCUCCAAGAAGGGGUGGAUGGCAGCCUACUCCUUGCCUUUGUGGCCUCCAGACCCCAAAGUCAGGGAACCAGAGGGAGAAAGGGGCCUUCGCUAUGGCAGAGCUCCACUGCAAUGAUGGUUUUAGGGAUAGGAGC